CGCUGGCGGCGUGCCUAACACAUGCAAGUCGAACGAGAAAGCGGGGGCAACUCCGCAAGUAAAGUGGCGACCGGGUGAGUAACACGUGACUAACCUACCCUCGAGUGGGGAAUAACCCCGGGAAACCGGGGCUAAUACCGCAUAACAUCCGCGGGGCGAAAGCUCUGCGGAUCAAAGGAGCAAUUCGCUUGAGGAGGGGGUCGCGGCCGAUUAGCUAGUUGGCGGGGUAACGGCCCACCAAGGCUGAGAUCGGUAGCCGGCCUGAGAGGGCGCACGGCCACACUGGAACUGAAACACGGUCCAGACUCCUACGGGAGGCAGCAGUGGGGAAUUUUGCGCAAUGGGGGGAACCCUGACGCAGCAACGCCGCGUGGAGGAUGAAGUCCCUUGGGACGUAAACUCCUUUCGACCGGGAAGAUAAUGACGGUACCGGAAGAAGAAGCACCGGCUAACUCUGUGCCAGCAGCCGCGGUAAUACAGAGGGUGCGAGCGUUGUUCGGAAUUAUUGGGCGUAAAGGGCGCGUAGGCGGUGCGGUAAGUCACCUGUGAAAUCUCCUGGCUCAACUGGGAGCUU
rnacentral:rRNA from 1 species